rnacentral:rRNA from 1 species
GAUGAACGCUGGCGGCGUGCCUAAUACAUGCAAGUCGAGCGAACAGACGAGGAGCUUGCUCCUCUGACGUUAGCGGCGGACGGGUGAGUAACACGUGGAUAACCUACCUAUAAGACUGGGAUAACUUCGGGAAACCGGAGCUAAUACCGGAUAAUAUAUUGAACCGCAUGGUUCAAUAGUGAAAGACGGUUUUGCUGUCACUUAUAGAUGGAUCCGCGCCGCAUUAGCUAGUUGGUAAGGUAACGGCUUACCAAGGCAACGAUGCGUAGCCGACCUGAGAGGGUGAUCGGCCACACUGGAACUGAGACACGGUCCAGACUCCUACGGGAGGCAGCAGUAGGGAAUCUUACGCAAUGGGCGAAAGCCUGACGGAGCAAGGCCGCGUGAGUGAUGAAGGUCUUCGGAUCGUAAAACUCUGUUAUUAGGGAAGAACAAAUGUGUAAGUAACUAUGCACGUCUUGACGGUACCUAAUCAGAAAGCCACGGCUAACUACGUG